rnacentral:rRNA from 1 species
UACGAAGGGGGCUAGCGUUGCUCGGAAUCACUGGGCGUAAAGCGCACGUAGGCGGACUCUUAAGUCAGGGGUGAAAUCCUGGAGCUCAACUCCAGAACUGCCCUUGAUACUGGGAGCCUUGAGUUCGGGAGAGGUGAGUGGAACUGCGAGUGUAGAGGUGAAAUUCGUAGAUAUUCGCAAGAACACCAGUGGCGAAGGCGGCUCCCUGGCCCGAUACUGACGCUGAGGUGCGAAAGCGUGGGGAGCAAACAGG